UACGGGGGGGGCAAGCGUUGUUCGGAAUUACUGGGCGUAAAGGGCUCGUAGGUGGCCAACUAAGUCAGACGUGAAAUCCCUCGGCUUAACCGGGGAACUGCGUCUGAUACUGGAUGGCUUGAGUUCGGGAGAGGGAUGCGGAAUUCCAGGUGUAGCGGUGAAAUGCGUAGAUAUCUGGAGGAACACCGGUGGCGAAGGCGGGAUCCUGGGCCAGUACUGACGCUGAGGAGCGAAAGCGUGGGGAGCAAACAGG
rnacentral:rRNA from 1 species